GACGAACGCUGGCGGCGUGCCUAACACAUGCAAGUCGAACGGGGUGAUUCCUUCGGGGAUCACUUAGUGGCGGACGGGUGAGUAACGCGUAGGCAACCUGCCCUUUGCAGAGGGAUAGCCAUUGGAAACGAUGAUUAAAACCUCAUAAUGCCAGACUGAGACAUCUCUAACUGGCCAAAGAUUUAUCGGCAAAGGAUGGGCCUGCGUCUGAUUAGCUAGAUGGCGGGGUAACGGCCCACCAUGGCGACGAUCAGUAGCCGGUCUGAGAGGAUGAACGGCCACAUUGGGACUGAGAUACGGCCCAGACUCCUACGGGAGGCAGCAGUGGGGAAUAUUGGGCAAUGGGGGAAACCCUGACCCAGCAACGCCGCGUGAAGGAAGAAGGCCUUCGGGUUGUAAACUUCUUUUAGUAGGGACGAAUACGUGACGGUACCUACAGAAAAAGCAACGGCUAACUACGUG
rnacentral:rRNA from 1 species